rnacentral:tRNA from 2 species
GGGGGUAUGGCGGAAUAGGUAGACGCUGCGGACUUAAAAUCCGUUGGCUUUAGAAACCGUGAGGGUUCAAGUCCCUCUACCCCCA